AUUGAACGCUGGCGGCAGGCCUAACACAUGCAAGUCGAGCGGAUGAGGGGAGCUUGCUCCUUGAUUCAGCGGCGGACGGGUGAGUAAUGCCUAGGAAUCUGCCUGGUAGUGGGGGACAACGCGUCGAAAGGAACGCUAAUACCGCAUACGUCCUACGGGAGAAAGCAGGGGACCUUCGGGCCCUGCGCUAUCAGAUGAGCCUAGGUCGGAUUAGCUAGUAGGUGAGGUAAUGGCUCACCUAGGCGACGAUCCGUAACUGGUCUGAGAGGAUGAUCAGUCACACUAGAACUGAGACACGGUCCAGACUCCUACGGGAGGCAGCAGUGGGGAAUAUUGGACAAUGGGCGAAAGCCUGAUCCAGCCAUGCCGCGUGUGUGAAGAAGGUCUUCGGAUUGUAAAGCACUUUAAGUUGGGAGGAAGGGCAGUAAGUUAAUACCUUGCUGUUUUGACGUUACCAACAGAAUAAGCACCGGCUAACUUCGUGCCAGCAGCCGCCGUAAGAC
rnacentral:rRNA from 1 species